GUCUGAUCCAGGCAGUUGGACCAGCGGGGAUGGACACAGCCAGGCAUUGGGGAAUCCUCUGCUCUGGCUCUGGCUUUGUCACCCGGGAGGAGGGAUCGCAGCCAAGGGAGAUUAAUGAGCUGUCAGUCUGGAGAACGGGGGAGGAUUCUGGAACUGGCUGAAGUUACCUUUUGGUCUGAUUUGGGGUCAGUUGAACAGUUUGUCUUUCAAUGAUUGAGAACUGGAUGGUGGUAAUGGGAUGAGCUUAGAGUUGCAUAAACCACGGAGACCAGUGAUAAGUGACCCUCUGACAAGAUGCACAUCAUGGCCGCACCUUCUUUUCUCUUCUUUCACUGAGGUCACACACAUCAGUGUCACUAGUGCUGGUGACGAGUCAGGAAAAGGAACUCUUCAGGUGUUGCUGAUGAUGGACUCUUAACAGCAGAGUCGGUGGAAAUGUACUCUGAAUUACCUGCACAGGUGGUAAGCUCAGGAGGGAGGGCCUAGAGCGGGUGAAGAAGUCUGUCAGCACUUCAUGCUUGGGGUCCUUUGGGGAUAUACUCCACUAUGAAUGAUGAGUCAUAUUUCAGCUACAGUUGAGAGCCAGUAUGGCCCUUUUCUCUGUCCCUGACCUGUGACGUGUCAAUAAAAGAGGUGAUAUGGAUUUCUUCUUCUUGUGAAAGACCACUGAGCCGUUCCGUUACAAUCUCUCAUGUUGUGCCCUUAUACAUCACCUAUAUUCUCUUCCCAGAGCUGCUUCGUCCAGCAAGACCAGGGAACCCGGCCUUCAACACCACUCUAUAUGAAAUAUCAAUGCAGAUGACUCACUUCGUCUUCAGUGUCAAUCACCAUUGCAAAUGCCAAGCCCAUUAUAACCAAAUCCUUCAGGGAGUUGUUACGUCCAUAUCCGGCAGUGGAGAAGGCUGGUUUCUUAAAGGGGCAGAGCCCCAUAUAAGAAGAUUGCUGUCUGACUAUGCUGCAGGAGACAUAAAAUAUUUAGUCUGUUUUAUUUUAUCCAGCUAAAAACAGAUUCUUCCAUCAAUCCCAUUCACCCGUUGGCCCUACAUGUAAACAAAACCAGUGACCAGGAGAAAAGAGAGCUUCAGAGAAAACUAGAUAAAAAAAAACAUAGAGAUGCUCUGAGCCAACACACAGUGGUUGUCCCAUGGGGCUGGCACGCUAUUUUGGGCUUGCUCAGUGCUUUCAUCAUGGUAGAGGUAGUCAGAGGUUGUCGCAUCUGAUGCUAGGAUGUUGCAUCUUGCGUCACUAUGGAUAAAGAAGAAUAGACAACUCCUUCAAAGCCAUCAAGGUUAUAAAGUUUAGCAGGAGGAUGUUACUGAUUGAUCUUAAUGGCACAGAACUGCUUUGAUUUGCUUUGCUUUAGCGUUUUGUUGCAGACUCUUAAGAAGGAGAAUACCUUUAUGGCUCCUACAUAAGAGACGGCUCAAAAGCAUGGUAAGAAACGUUGCAAGGGCUUCCUUUUAAAAUGUUAAUUGUGGACACAAAGCGUGCAGUGUUAAAUUCUAAUGUGAGGUGUUAAUGAAGUUUUGUGACAAAUGCCAAAGUUAAGUUUUCUGGGAGAGGGCUUCAUGACACGUGGGAAGAUUCAGUGUGUGUCUUAGUGUCAUGUACUCACAUGGGAGUAGGAGUACAGAUGCACGGAGCACAAAGACAUGCCGCCUACUCAUGCCAAGUAGCUGAGGAACCUCUCAGUGAUUUACACCAAUCCACAGGUGAGCUGACUAGGUGUCACUUGUGGGUAAUUAACCCUGCACAGUGACACCACGGAAAAAAAUCAUCAGUCCCCUCGGCCUGUUGUCCCAUUUCAUCCCAUUGGUUAUCCAUUUAAAUCUUUAGAUGCCUAAUGAAGCUUGAGGAAAGGUAGGGCCUCUUGACUUUUAAACAUAUCAUUUACACCCCAUUUCUUUCCUCUUUGCUUUGAGAAGGUUAAGACAUCGGCAGCUUUAAUUUUCAUGCACUAUUGCUAAAUAUCUUAACAUUUUAUGUACAGGACUGAUCAGUAUGCAGUAAAUCAGAUGUAAAAUAAACAAAUAAAUAAUGAAUUUAAAAAUAAUUUACUUAUAUUUGGUGAAGAUGGGUAUCCACCAUGACAGAUGGCUUCUAUAAUGUUUCAGAAAACUGUGUAAAAAAAACAAAAACAACGUUCACUUGUGAGGGAUCACACAUCUAUUAUACUCAUAUUAAAUUUUCAUAUAGUUUUAAAUAGUUAUAUUACUGUAAUUAUGUAUAAUAAUAGUAAUAAUAAUAAUGGUUGGCAAAAGGGAUUAACAUAAUAUAAAUAUAAAUUUUUUAUUACAGUAUUUCACAAUUGCUAAAACACAUUUCUUGAAACCUUCACCCAUAUUCUCAAAACUUUAAACACAAAACCCAGUCUUUAAACUACAUUCACAAAACCCCUGACUCUUCUGGCAAAAUCAAACAAUUGCCUCAAAACCAUUUGAUCUGUGCUCAAAAUCAAACAAUGCUUUCAAAAACAUAAACCCAUCCAGUCAAUAUAUAAACACUCAUCAGCAUUCAUUCAAAAAAUUGACAACACAGCAUUCAGGGCAUGUAGUUACAGAUAUUUUUUUUUAAAAUUGCAUAUAGAAAAUAUAUUUGCCGUAAAUAAAAGUAAAUAAUUCACAACUCAAUACAGCAAAUAUAUUGCAUACAAGUACUGCAAGUAAUACAGUAUAGAAUUUCUGUAUUUUCAGCAUAAAAAUAAAGUAAGCUCA
rnacentral:lncRNA from 1 species